rnacentral:lncRNA from 1 species
CUUUUUUUCCUUAAAAAAAUGUAAAAAUACCCUUUUUUCCCCCCAAAAAAACCAGAAAAAUUCCCUUUUUUCCCCAAAGAAAUUUGGAAUUAAUUUAUUUACUGGGAAUGUUGUGGGGGGAGGGGAAAAAAAAACUCUUUGGGAUAAUUCCAACUUUUCCAGGAAAAAAAAAUUCCCGGGAAAAGGGGGAGGGGUCGGGAAAUUUUUAUAUUUUAUCCUUGGAAUUUGAUUUCUUUUCAUUCCCGUUUUUUUUCCUGAUUGUUUUCCUUAAUUUUUCUCCAUUUUAUUUCAAAUUUUUCCCUUUUUUUUUAAAAUUUUUCCCGAAUUUUUCCUUCAUUUUUCCUCAUUUUUUUUCAAAUUUUUUCCCCAUUUUUUUCUUAAUAUUUCCCGAUUUUAUUUUAAAUUUUUCCUGAUUUAUUUUGAAUUUUUUUCCCAUUUUUCUUUCAAAUUUUUCCCAAAAUUUUUUCAUUUUUUUCCCCGAUUUUAUUUUAAUUUUUCCCGAUUUUAUUUUUGAUUUUUUCUUCAGUUUUUCCCAAUUUUUUUUCCAUUUUUCCCAAUUUUUUCUCAGUUUUUUUCUUAGUUUUUUUCAAUUUUUCCCCCAUUUUAUUUUCAAAUUUUUUCCAGAUUUUUUCCCAAUUUUUUUUCCAUUUUUCCCCAUUUUUUUUCAAUUUUUACCCUUUUUUCAGUUUUUCCCCAUUUUUUCUCAAAUUUUUUCCCAUUUCUUUUCCAUUUUUUCCCAAUUUUUUCUCAAAUUUUUUCUCAAUUUUUUUUCCUUUUCUUGGGAAUUUUUUUUCCCGAUUUUUUCCCUUUUUUCCCCAUUUUUCCUUCUCCUCCUUUCCCGUUUUUCCCCCCCUUUCCUCGUAGCCCUUUUAGAAUUCGUGGUGGUUUUUUGUUGUUUUUUUUUUUUCCAGUUUUUUGGGUUUUCCUACAAAAAAAAAACAGAANAGAGUUGGAAUUAAAGAGGGAAAAUCCAUGGAGGAAACGACCGGAAAUGGGAAAAUUCCAGGAAAAACCUUGGAAAAAUUUGAGGAAAAACCUUGGAAAAAUUCCAGGAAAAACUUCGGAAAAAAUCUUGGAAAAACCUUGGAAAAAUUAUGGGAAAAAUUCCAGGAAAAACCUUGGAAAAAUUCCAGGAAAAACUUCGGAAAAAUUUCAGGAAAAAUCUUGGAAAAAUUCUGGGAAAAAUUCCAGGAAAAAACUUGGGGAAAAUUCCGGAAAAAAACUUGGAAAAACCUUGGAAAGAUUCUGGAAAAAAACUCAGAAAAAUUCCAAGAAAAACCUUUGGAAAAUGAGGAAUUUUGGGAACGAAGAAAAGAAAAAAAUUCCUGGAAAAAAUAAAAACGAGAAGAAAUAAAAAAUCCUGGAAAAAUUUUGGGGAAAAAAAAAACCACCUGGAAAAAAACCCCGGGAAAUUCCUGGAAAAAAUUCCCAAAGGACAAAAAAA